rnacentral:rRNA from 1 species
AUUGAACGCUGGCGGCAUGCUUUACACAUGCAAGUCGAACGGCAGCGCGGGCUUCGGCCUGGCGGCGAGUGGCGAACGGGUGAGUAAUGCAUCGGAACGUGCCCAGUAGUGGGGGAUGGCCCGGCGAAAGCCGGAUUAAUACCGCAUACGACCUGAGGGUGCAAGCGGGGGACCGAAAGGCCUCGCGCAAUUGGAGCGGCCGAUGUCGGAUUAGCUAGUUGGUGGGGUAAAGGCUUACCAAGGCGACGAUCCGUAGCUGGUCUGAGAGGACGACCAGCCACACUGGGACUGAGACACGGCCCAGACUCCUAAGGGAGGCAGCAGUGGGGAAUUUUGGACAAUGGGGGCAACCCUGAUCCAGCCAUGCCGCGUGCGGGAAGAAGGCCUUCGGGUUGUAAACCGCUUUUGUUCGGGAAGAAAUCCUCUGGGCUAAUACCCCGGGGGGAUGACGGUACCGGAAGAAUAAGCACCGGCUAACUACGUG